rnacentral:lncRNA from 7 species
GGGGACUUGCAAGAGAAGUUGUGUGAUUUUUGGGAUAAAGGGGGAUUUUUGAAGAGAAAAUGUGUGUUUUGAU